GUGCCAGCAGCCGCGGUAAUACGUAGGGGGCAAGCGUUGUCCGGAUUUAUUGGGCGUAAAGCGCGUGUAGGCGGCCACACAGGUCCGCUGUGAAAACUCGAGGCUCAACCUCGAGACGUCGGUGGAAACCGUGUGGCUAGAGUCCGGAAGAGGAGAGUGGAAUUCCCGGUGUAGCGGUGAAAUGCGCAGAUAUCGGGAAGAACACCCAUGGCGAAGGCAGCUCUCUGGGACGGUACUGACGCUGAGACGCGAAAGCGUGGGGAGCGAACAGGAUUAGAAACCCGCGUAGUCC
rnacentral:rRNA from 1 species